rnacentral:lncRNA from 1 species
CAUCUUAUUAAAACAGAUUCUUCAAUAGGUGCUAUAUAUCCUAUUAAAACCUAUUCAUAUGAUUCAAAAGAAAUAGAACAUUGGUGAAUUAGUGAAAUGAGCUAUACAAUAGUUUGUAUGAACAUAGCAGCUCCUACAAAAUUUCUCACUGUGCAGAACUACUUAAUUGCAAUUGUCAUGACAACCACACAUGUAUACAGAUAUUCUUAUAAGAC